rnacentral:tRNA from 1 species
GGUUAUGGCUCAGUGGUAGAGCGCUAGCUUUGCAUGUUCAAGGCCCUGGGUUCGAUCCUCAGCACCA